rnacentral:rRNA from 1 species
UGGGGAAUUUUGGACAAUGGGCGCAAGCCUGAUCCAGCCAUUCCGCGUGCAGGAUGAAGGCCUUCGGGUUGUAAACUGCUUUUGUACGGAACGAAAAGCCGCUCUCUAAUACGGGGCGGUCAUGACGGUACCAUAAGAAUAAGCACCGGCUAACUACGUGCCAGCAGCCGCGGUAAUACGUAGGGUGCAAGCGUUAAUCGGAAUUACUGGGCGUAAAGCGUGCGCAGGCGGUGAUGUAAGACAGAUGUGAAAUCCCCGGGCUCAACCUGGGAACUGCAUUUGUGACUGCAUCGCUAGAGUACGGCAGAGGGGGAUGGAAUUCCGCGUGUAGCAGUGAAAUGCGUAGAUAUGCGGAGGAACACCGAUGGCGAAGGCAAUCCCCUGGGCCUGUACUGACGCUCAUGCACGAAAGCGUGGGGAGCAAACAG